GCCUGGGUGGCUCAGUCGGUUGAGCACCGGACUUCAGCUUGAGUCAUGAUCUCAUGGUUCGUGGGUUCGAGCCCCACAUUGGGCU
rnacentral:tRNA from 1 species